rnacentral:rRNA from 1 species
AUACGGAAGGUCCGGGCGUUAUCCGGAUUUAUUGGGUUUAAAGGGAGCGCAGGCGGCCUUUUAAGCGUGACGUGAAAUGUAGGCGCUCAACGUCUGAAUUGCGUCGCGAACUGUUAGGCUUGAGUAGACGGAAUGUCGGCGGAAUUCGUGGAGUAGCGGUGAAAUGCUUAGAUAUCACGAAGAACUCCGAUUGCGAAGGCAGCUGACAGCAGUUUUACUGACGCUCAUGCUCGAAAGUGCGGGUAUCGAACAGGAUUAGAUACCCUGGUAGUCCGCAUGGUAAACGAUGGAUGCCCGCUGUUUGCCUUUUUGGUAAGCGGCCAAGCGAAAGCAUUAAGCAUCCCACCUGGGGAGUACGCCGGCAACGGUGAAACUCAAAGGAAUUGACGGGG